CUGCCGUGCGGCAUGCUAUACAUGCAGUCGAGCGGACAGAUGGGAGCUUGCUCCCUGAUGUUAGCGGCGGACGGGUGAGUAACACGUGGGUAACCUGCCUGUAAGACUGGGAUAACUCCGGGAAACCGGGGCUAAUACCGGAUGGUUGUUUGAACCGCAUGGUUCAAACAUAAAAGGUGGCUUCGGCUACCACUUACAGAUGGACCCGCGGCGCAUUAGCUAGUUGGUGAGGUAACGGCUCACCAAGGCAACGAUGCGUAGCCGACCUGAGAGGGUGAUCGGCCACACUGGGACUGAGACACGGCCCAGACUCCUACGGGAGGCAGCAGUAGGGAAUCUUCCGCAAUGGACGAAAGUCUGACGGAGCAACGCCGCGUGAGUGAUGAAGGUUUUCGGAUCGUAAAGCUCUGUUGUUAGGGAAGAACAAGUACCGUUCGAAUAGGGCGGUACCUUGACGGUACCUAACCAGAAAGCCACGGCUAACUACGUGCCAGCAGCCGCGGUAAUACGUAGGUGGCAAGCGUUGUCCGGAAUUAUUGGGCGUAAAGGGCUCGCAGGCGGUUUCUUAAGUCUGAUGUGAAAGCCCCCGGCUCAACCGGGGAGGGUCAUUGGAAACUGGGGAACUUGAGUGCAGAAGAGGAGAGUGGAAUUCCACGUGUAGCGGUGAAAUGCGUAGAGAUGUGGAGGAACACCAGUGGCGAAGGCGACUCUCUGGUCUGUAACUGACGCUGAGGAGCGAAAGCGUGGGGAGCGAACAGGAUUAGAUACCCUGGUAGUCCACGCCGUAAACGAUGAGUGCUAAGUGUUAAGGGGGUUUCCGCCCCUUAGUGCUGCAGCUAACGCAUUAAGCACUCCGCCUGGGGGAGUACGGUCGCAAGACUGAAACUCAAAGGAAUUGACGGGGGCCCGC
rnacentral:rRNA from 2 species